AUGUAAUGGAGUACACUUGAUGCGAUCAAUUCUGGUGUGUGUGUGUGUGUGUGAUGCAAUGACGUAUGAAUAACGACAGAAAAAUAUGCCUGAGGAGUAUGGGAUUGACGCGCCCUAUAUGCGGCGACCCGCGGCUACUCCUCCCAGCCCCGGAUAUGCUCUUCCGCCACCUGAGACCCACAGCUCCAAUGAUCCACGACAAGGGAUGACGACCAACUCGGCUGCCCCUCCCUCGUGCAGCUCCCUCUGAGGCUGCAGCAACCUUCGAACGAGGCCACUACGGUGCCACCUAUGUUGUCCUGAAGUUCCCUCAGAUUUGACAUUUUCAGUUUCGUCAGAUUUAGUUUCAUCAGAUUCAGAAAAUUCAGUUCAUCAGUUUCAUCAAAGUUUCAGUUGUUAGUUAAUUUGUCGGGCACGUUGGCACUCGCGCACGUCGUCCGCUUCCUCACAUCACUCGCUCACAUAGCCCACCUGCCAAUCCAAGCAACGACUUGGUCAGGGAUCGGACUGGACCAGACGGUGUCCACCAUGACCUGAAGGCGAUGCCGGAGUCCAAGUGUGUGUAAGUUACACCGGCCUUUGAUUUAUAUAUCCACCAUCCACUGAUCAGUGACCUGAAAAGGUUGGGCGCUCUGAGCUAGCACAUAAGCUGAUUGAUGAGAUGGAUUGAAAUGCUUUUGAUUUGUUAGGCCGUCAAUAUUCCAAACUGAAGUCCAAGGAAGAACGAUUAGGAACAGCAGGUAAGAAGCCCAUGAGUUAGUUGUCUUACAGGCAUGCACGUGCACAAGGUGCUGAUACAUAGUUGCAGAUUUCCAAUGGAUGCUGGUGUUGUCGGUUGACAUCUCCGGGGCUGUACAUCAUGAUGGUUACCAAGACACAACAAUGAUCUCAAUGCUACAAACCUGAAUGGAAUACCAUAACUGCAGACCUGAUCACAAUGCUACAAACUUGAAUGAAAUACCUUGAUUGCAGGCCUUUGCUGAUUUGCGUUUUCCAUUGAUCUUCAAUGCACUAAAGAAUAGUGAAAUCUUGGCAUCUGAUUCAUUUUGCAGGCUAUGCUUUUAACUCAAUGAAAAUGUGCAUUUUUAGUUGACCUUAUUGUCUGUUUGUAGCUAAUUGGGAGACAAACAUGGGCAAUGAGCAGCUUUUUUGAUGACAGUGCAAUCAAGGACUCACAUAUUCACUGAUGAA